CUCCUCCCUCGCUCUCUCUCUCCUCCAUACAUCGGAGGCUGUGAGGCUGCAGCGGCGGCAGAAAGCGGUGCGGAUCCCGGUGUGUGCCUAUCUCUCCGGAGGGGGACCGGAUAAUCCAGUCGGACCCGUCAGUGGAGUGGAUCUCCUCUAUCUGCACACUCAUAGCGAAGCCACUUUUACAUUGCCACCGGCGAUUGUGAUUUACUCCCCACAGGUGACCUGUAACUGGUUGGAAAGAGGGAGGGGAGCAGAACAAAUGGAAAGGGAACAGAGGGAGAGAGGAUGAAAGAGACAGAGCAGGACCCAUGAGAUUCCUCGUGCACAAUGGGAAGCCCUUGCUCUGCCGGCUUUUGAUUUGAAAAGAAUAAAGGGGACUUUGCCUAAAGAGGGUCAACGGGAUCUUGACAUCAUUUCAGUGUUUUGCCCUCUAGUGGGGGUCCACCCUUCUGUCUCGGUAGGAGUGGUCAUGGCUGUACACUAAGCAUAGAAUAAAGUCAUCUCUUUCUCUCUACGCCCUUUUGCUACUUCUUACCUAGUCACAGGCCGUUGCCAUGGAGAAGACAUACUCACUAACUGCCCACUAUGAUGAGUUCCAGGAAGUGAAAUAUGGCGGCCGUUAUAGCAGUGACAUCCUCAGCAAUGGCAUGACCCUUCAUCUGGGAGGCAGCCUGGACCGUCACGUGGGGCGUACCCGAGGAGGGACCUGGUCCAACGGUCGAAACAAAGAUCCAAGCAGCACCAGCAGCAGUGGAGGGCUUCCUCGAUGGAGCCGGAGGGAGAUCUGCCUCCUCUCUGCACUGGUCUUUGCGGCAGGAAUGUGCGUUAUCUUGGGCAGCAUGCUGGCUCUCAAGUACAUUUCCCUGGACGCCCAGCAGGACCCACAGUGUCGACAGGACUGCCAACGCAAACGCUCCCUGCUGCGGGCGGCACGCUUUGUUCAGGCCAAUAUUGACCCAACAAUCCAGCCCUGCCAGGAUUUCUACUCCUUCGCCUGUGGUGGUUGGCUGAGGCGCCACGGCAUCCCAGAGGACAAGCUCAGUUACGGAAUCAUCACCGCCAUAGGAGAGCACAAUGAGGAGAAACUACAGCGCCUCCUUCUGGAGCCCAUACGGAGACGUGGGUCCAACUCAGCAGAGCGCAAGGUCAAGGAGUUCUAUCGAUCCUGCGUCAAUAUCCAGGAGAUCGACAAGCUGGGCUCUGACCCCAUGACAGAGGUGAUAGACAGCUGUGGGGGGUGGGAUCUGGUGGGGGCUCCUCCCGGUGCUGCUGGGUGGGAGAGAGAGGGUGCCCCACAGAGGCCGGACUUCAAUGAGCUGCUGUACAGGACCCAGGGGGUGUACAGCACUGCCGUCUUCUUCUCCCUCACUGUCAACGUGGACGACAAAAACUCCUCCAGGAAUGCAAUCAGGAUUGAUCAGGAGGGGCUCACGCUGCCUGAGAGAAGUCUCUACCUGGGACAGGAUGAGGACAGCGUAAAGAUCCUGGCGGCGUACAAGGCCCUGAUGGAGCGCUUGCUGAGCAUGCUGGGAGCUCACAACGCCACGCAGAAGUCCAAGGAGAUUAUACAGCUGGAGACCCGUCUGGCCAAUAUCACUGUGUCAGAAUAUGAUGACCAAAGAAAGGACAUCAGCACCAUGUAUAACCGCAUCACCCUCAGGCAGCUACAGCGCAUCGCUCCCAAUCUUCACUGGAAACGCCUGCUGGACAGAAUCUUCCACGACAACUUCUCAGAGGACGAAGAGAUCGUGGUGCUCGCCACCGAUUACAUCCAGAAAGUCUCCGACAUCAUCAAGACCACUUCGAAGAGGGUUCUCCAUAACUACAUGCUAUGGCGCAUUGUGGCGGCGCUAAGUGAACACCUGUCCACCGCCUUCCGCAGCACCAUCCACGAGUUUUCUCGUGAGAUUGACGGCACCGAGCAGCAGCUGGAGCUGGGCAGGCUCUGCCUCACUCAGGCCAACAAACACUUCGGCAUGGCCCUGGGAGCCCUGUUCGUCCAGCAACACUUCUCCUCACAGAGCAAGGCCAAGGUACAGGAGCUGGUAGAGGACAUUAAGCACUCCCUGGACCUACGGCUGCACGAGCUGGACUGGAUGGAUGAAGCCACCAAGGAAGCUGCCAGAGCAAAGCUGAAGCACAUGAUGGUGAUGACAGGAUACCCAGACUUCCUGCUCAAACCUGAGCUCAUAGAUCAAGAAUAUGGGUUUGAUGUGGAUGAGAAGACCUAUUUCAAGAACAUCCUGAACAGCAUCAAGUUCAACAUCAAGCUGUCGGUCAAGAAGAUCCAUGAAGAAGUGGACAAGACAACGUGGCUUCUCCCCCCUCAGGCCCUUAAUGCCUACUACCUCCCUAACAAGAACCAAAUGGUGUUUCCUGCCGGCAUCCUUCAGCCCACUCUCUACAACCCUGAGUUCCCACAGUCUCUGAACUACGGAGGAAUAGGGGCUAUCAUUGGCCACGAGCUAACGCAUGGAUACGAUGACUGGGGGGGCCAGUACGACCGCCACGGCAACCUCAAGCAGUGGUGGACAGAGGAGUCCUACAGAAAGUUUCAGACGAAGGCUGAAUGUAUCGUCAAGCUCUAUGAUAACUUCACUGUUUAUAACCAGAGGGUGAACGGCCGUCUGACACUGGGGGAGAACAUAGCAGACAUGGGAGGGCUCAAGUUGUCAUACUAUGCGUAUCAGAAGUGGGUGAGGGAACAUGGUCCUGAGAGGCCCCUGCCUGGCCUUAGAUACACACACGAACAGCUGCUCUUCAUCGCCUUUGCACAGAACUGGUGCAUGAAGAGAAGAUCUCAGUCCAUCUACUUGCAGCUGCUGACUGACAAACAUGCGCCAGAGCACUACAGAGUGAUUGGCAGUGUGUCCCAGUUUGAUGAGUUUGCCCGAGUUUUCCACUGUUCAAAGGGUUCCCCAAUGAACCCUGUGGACAAAUGCUCCGUAUGGUGACCUCUCCUCCCUCCUGGUGACCUUGGGAUGAACUUCAUCUUCACACACACACACACACACAUAACCUAUCCUACAUCACACAUUCAUCAGAACCAACAGGAUGAUAAAGCCUAUUCUUGCCUAUGAAGGAUACAGGAAGGAAGUGUAUCUUUUCAACAUUAUCAGUAGACAUUUUCAAUGUGUGUUCUAACCGAUCUAAAGCAUGGGUCAUAUGACCAGUGAUCAUGUACAUAUAUAUCAUUUGAUCAUAUAUAUUUUUCUAUGUUUAAAGUUAUUUUCAAAUCAUCUAUUUUUCUAUUUUAGCAGAUAUAUCACAUACAUUAUGCGUAAGAUUCAUAAGCUACUUGGUUUUUAAUUAAGCAACAUGUUUCCUCAAUUGUUUCUCUUCUUUGUAGCAUCAAACUUCAACAGUGAUUUUAGUCCCCGAUGUAACCCGGACAAGGACCAAUUAAAAACGAACUGAGAUCAGUAGCAUCCUUGUGCCUGCCAAAAUGUUGUUCUUUCAGUUCGGUAUAUUGGAGUCCGACUUGUGUCGCAAUGCUGCGCUCUUGUGGCUGCAGACAGUAAAGGUCACUGUUCAACCACCAUGACCGUCGUAUCGUUUGCCUGCAUUGGUCCUCUUGUUACUGUGAGUGUUUGUACGGUUUAUAAGAUUUGUCAACUUUUUUAAGAAAAAAGAAGGCGGACUUGUGAUGGAUGUUUUUCUCAGGAUUUGUAGCAAAGUGCAGCGCCAAAUGGAGGAUCUUUGUGUCUCGAUCUAUACUCAACUCUUCAUCCUACAGUACAAUCACAAAGGAGCUGGUACAUUUAUCAAACAUUGAAUAAACAAAGAGAAGACUGUUUUUGGAUGAGCUGAUCUGAGAGCUCUUUUCUGUUGAAAACGGAGGACUCACGUCUCCGUGUUUCCUGAUGAAUGAUCUUACACAACCCGAGAAAGAGGGAGAGCGCCAGGUCAUAUUAUACAGUACUUUCACAGUUAACUCACCAAAUACCAGAAGCCAACACUGUACAGAAGAAAGUGCAACUAUGGUAGAUGGAGAAUCAUACACUUGUACGCAGUGUUAUUUUAAAAAAAUUACUUUUGUAUAAAUAAUCUGUUGGUACAAAAAAUAAGAAUCUUUGUACAGUGGAGAAGUAUAUCAGAUGUUAUGGUUGUACAGUUUGUUUGAUGAGAGUGCAUGUUUCCCUCCUGACCAUCAUUCACAAUUCUGAUCGACAUAUGUGGAGGAUCACACACACACGCCUGACUCUACAGCUGCUAUUUCACACGUGGCUGCUAUCUCUUCCUCUCUGUUGGUCACCGUUUAAUGUUUGAAUAAAUACAAAGGUUCACUGUG